rnacentral:rRNA from 1 species
GAACGAUGAACCGGCUUCGGUCGGGGAUUAGUGGCGAACGGGUGAGUAACACGUGGGCAAUCUGCCCUGCACUCUGGGACAAGCCCUGGAAACGGGGUCUAAUACCGGAUAUGACUGCCGACCGCAUGGUUUGGUGGUGGAAAGCUCCGGCGGUGCAGGAUGAGCCCGCGGCCUAUCAGCUUGUUGGUGGGGUGAUGGCCUACCAAGGCGACGACGGGUAGCCGGCCUGAGAGGGCGACCGGCCACACUGGGACUGAGACACGGCCCAUACUCCUACGGGAGGCAGCAGUGGGGAAUAUUGCACAAUGGGCGCAAGCCUGAUGCAGCGACGCCGCGUGAGGGAUGACGGCCUUCGGGUUGUAAACCUCUUUCAGCAGGGAAGAAGCGUGAGUGACGGUACCUGCAGAAGAAGCGCCGGCUAACUACGUGCCAGCAGCCGCGGUAAU